CCUACGGGAGGCAGCAGUGGGGAAUAUUGCACAAUGGGCGAAAGCCUGAUGCAGCAACGCCGCGUGAGUGAUGAAGGCCUUCGGGUUGUAAAGCUCUGUCUUUGCUGACGAAUAAAUGACGGUAAGCAAGGAGGAAGCCACGGCUAACUACGUGCCAGCAGCCGCGGUAAU
rnacentral:rRNA from 1 species